GAGAGAACGUUGCGUCAGCAAUGGCCCGAAGGGCGAGCCACGUAGUGGCGAGUUAUCCUCUAUCACCGACCA
rnacentral:sRNA from 1 species